CACAGACUUUCACACACUCUGUUGCUCAUGACAGCAUCCGAGUGUAUGUAAGGGUGAAGGUUUGUGUUCACUAGUCUCCUCUAAGGAAAGCCUUGUCAUUCUGUUGGUCAGAACAGCAUGUAAGCAACAAAGAGAAAAGAUUCAAACCGACUGCCUGGCAACUCCGAAAGCAAAGGAGCUGAUCCAGCUAUCCUAAACCACGGUAUUCCACUUGCCUUUUGUAAAAAACUAAAGAAAAACUAACAUACUCAAGAAAUAUGGGAGGAGGUGAGAGUGAGGAGUGGGAUGGAAAGCAUCAGGAUACGAUGCAAACUCAGCCCCAGAAAAACAAGGACACGGAGGGCAAGAGCUCAGGGAGCAGCUGUCCCAGGUGCUGCUUGCAGACAAAGAAUUGUCUGAUGAGCCCAGAGUGCGGCAGAGCACUUCAGAUCUCCAACGUCAUUGCCAUGUGUGGAAUGUGCAUUGGCAUGUGGACAUAAUCUAACCUUGGACAUCUGGACCAGCUUUUCCUGGCUGUGUUAGUUCUCUGCAUCCUCCAGCACCCUUCAUGACAGUCUGGUUUCCUUCUAAUCUGAGACAUAUUUCACUUUUAAGUCCUUUUCAUAAGCUAAAGUUAUCUUUAAUUCAUCAUCUACAAGUUAUGUUAUUUACAUAAACAAAUUCACUGUCUGUAUAAAAAGACUAACUAGAAAGACAUUAUGAAUGAAUGAUUACAUAUUAGAAUAAAUGAAUGAUUGAAUGGAUGGAUGGAUGUGACUUUGAAGUGUAGGUCUUUGAAAAAGGUUAGCCUAUUGAUCACUUCUGAUUUAUCAAAAUGCUACAGUAUUUUGUCAAUCCAGAUUUUGUAUCUGUAUAGUUAAUUAGUUUUUAAUAAUGUAAAAUAACAAACAAGUGAACUUACAAGUGAUAUAUAUAUAUAUAUAUAUAUAUAUAUAUAUAUAUAUAUAUAUAUAGUGGUAUGUGUGAAGGCAUAAAUACUACAGUGUAACCACAACAUUUUGUCUUGAAAUAUGAGUAAGAUGCAAAACUUUAAACAAAGCAUCCUGCAACAACUCUAUAACAACUGUGCAUUAAAUUUAGUGCCAUUAUUAAUAGAGGCCUGUAAUUAAAAGUAAGAUAACAGAACAUAUUAAAUAGUUUUUAAUGUGAUGUCACAAGACAGUAUUGACAUUGCUGCCUCUUUGUGUGCCCCAUGUCCUUUUUCAUGUUAAAAAAAAUGAUACACUGACACAUUAUAGCACAAAUGUGUGAAAAUCAGAAAUGACCCAGUUCAUAGGUGAUAUUUGGUCACCCUGCAUGCUGCGGCAGCAGUGGGUCUACAGGUACACCUUGUGCCUCGAAAUCUGAAAGACAUUUACUGUCGCUCCAUGUUGGCAACUCUGUUCCUAGUAAAGAAUGACCAACAGCAGGUUGGUAUAUUUCUGAUGCAGGAAAAUACAGCAUAUUCCCACGGUGAGCUAAAUAAUCUCACUUAAACAUAAUACCUCCAUACAGUCAGCAGAGACAUAAAAAAGGCAUCCGUUAAUUUCUUUGAACCUGAGGGGGUUAAAGAAAGCUAGGUGCAACAAAACCAUUACAUACCACAGUUUGACCAUACAUUUCUAAGGUAUAAAUUAAUUAAUUUAAUUUAAUUAAUAAAAAAUUACAUGUUGAAGAGAAAGCCACUUCUUCUGACCUUGACACCUGAACUUGGGGUCACUGUGUAUGGUCAUCAUUUUGUUUCUGUGCUCAAUCUACAAGCAUUUGGAGAAGACAGGGCACUUUCUCUAAGUGCUGCCAGAUGUACAAGUGGAUAUGACUCUAAGAACAAUUAAACCACUGAAGGAAUGGAUCACAUUACACUUCAGAAACAGAAGAGAAACAGGUGCAUUAGGGGAGACCGGGGAUGGUUGUAACAUUUUUUAAAAUUUUGUCUUUAUCUCUGAGCUCUUUUAAGCCAGUGCGUUCAAAAUGUUAUAAAACAAGUUACAUGUGUCUAUUAAAUUGUGUAGCUGCAACACAGACAGAAAAUGCAUGGUUUAGUCUGAAACACAAGGAGUAAAACUUCAGAAUUCACCCCAUAGUCUAGGUUAAUUGUGUGAUGGCCUCUCUGCAGGGUUCAUAUUGCUGUUGGUGUGCUUUCUGUCUCCAGGUCUGCAGACCUGAUUGGCAGGGUAAUCAGCAGCAUAGGACACACCUGGGCCAGGUGUGCCCCAUGCAUAUAAGCCAGAGCAGUCCUCAUCUCACUGCUUCCUUUAUUGUGUUUGAUUUCUUGUCUUUGUUUUUACAGCACAACAUCCCACAGCACAUUUUCGUUCAUCCACUCCCUAUACUACUGACUUUACAGAUUCUACCCACUCAUUGGCUUUGGUCAUUUUCUUUUUAAUAAAUCAUUUUGUUAUUUAGUUUA